rnacentral:tRNA from 1 species
CUUCCGUCCCAGAGCAUAUCCAAUCUCAAAAAUGUUUUGAACAAAUAUCCAAAUAUUAUUAUUAAAUAUCCAAAUAUUAUUAUUAAAUAGACA